rnacentral:rRNA from 1 species
UGGGGAAUAUUGCACAAUGGGCGCAAGCCUGAUGCAGCGACGCCGCGUGGGGGAUGACGGCCUUCGGGUUGUAAACUCCUUUCGCUAGGGACGAAGCUUUUUGUGACGGUACCUAGAUAAGAAGCACCGGCUAACUACGUGCCAGCAGCCGCGGUAAUACGUAGGGUGCGAGCGUUGUCCGGAAUUACUGGGCGUACAGGGCUCGUAGGUGGUUUGUCGCGUCGUCUGUGAAAUUCCGGGGCUUAACUCCGGGCGUGCAGGCGAUACGGGCAUAACUUGAGUACUGUAGGGGUAACUGGAAUUGCUGGUGUAGCGGUGGAAUGCGCAGAUAUCAGGAGGAACACCGAUGGCGAAGGCAGGUUACUGGGCAGUUACUGACGCUGAGGAGCGAAAGCAUGGGUAGCGAACAGG